rnacentral:rRNA from 1 species
AGAGCGAACGCUGGCGGCAGGCCUAACACAUGCAAGUCGAGCGCCCGUAGCAAUACGGGAGCGGCAGACGGGAUAGUAACACGUGGGAACGCGCCCUUCGGUUCGGAAUAACUCAGGGAAACUUGAGCUAAUACCGGAUACGCCCUUACGGGGAAAGAUUUAUUGCCGAAGGAACGGCCCGCGUCCGAUUAGCUUGUUGGUGAGGUAAUGGCUCACCAAGGCGACGAUCGGUAGCUGGUCUGAGAGGAUGACCAGCCUCACUGGGACUGAGACACGGCCCAGACUCCUACGGGAGGCAGCAGUGGGGAAUAUUGGACAAUGGGCGCAAGCCUGAUCCAGCCAUGCCGCGUGGAUGAUGAAGGCCCUAGGGUUGUAAAGUCCUCUUAACGGGGAAGAUAAUGACGGUACCCGUAGAAUAAGCCCCGGCUAACUUCGUGCCAGCAGCCGC